rnacentral:tRNA from 1 species
UGGUAUAGCUCAGCUGGUAGAGCAGCUGAUUUGUAAUCAGCAGGUCGGGGGUUCGAAUCC